CAUAACCUGUAAAGCGCUUUAUAAGUGUAAGCAAUUAUUAAUUAAUCAAGACCGGGAGCUUGUCCGGCUGAGCUAGGCUGUGCGCCACAACCCCACCACCGCUGGUGCGAAAUUUAAAAAAAUCCAUAAACUUGUAUUCCCGUUCCCGUCCGACCAGAACUUGUUCAGCUUAAUCCUGCUCUGCCCACUUGUGAACAGCCCACCCCCCGUUACUGUGGACCGAAGAGCAGGCGCGGGUUUUACCUGUCCCCUCCCUCCAUCUUCCUGUCGGACCCCUGCUGCGUUCAGCCACCCAGCGGUGACACCCCAGCAGCAGGGUCCCCAGGAAAGCUGUGCGCUUCAGCCGCAUCCAAACCGCCCUGCAGCAGGUUACUGAACUCUCGCCUUGAGCUGGAGCCGCCGAGAAGCGCAUCGCUGGCGAGUGACCGCGGAAGGCGGGUGCCCCCUGCCGACGGAACAAGGCAACAGCAGUCCCCGCCGAGCCACGACUGAGCCAUUCAACACGACUCCCGUGCAAGAGGAAAAGAGUAGGUCUCCAAAGUCAUGCCUAUCCUUGAGGCUGAAACAAUCACAGCACACUGUCCGGUUUAGCAGAUGAGCUCAGUGAAGCAGAACAGCCUGCGAAGUCCAUGAUGAAAAAGCGACCGAUUAUGGCAAACUGAAUGUGCUAAGUGCUGACUAAGUCACCUGUGCCAGCAAGCGGGUCGUUGCCAUUCUGACUGAGCUGGGUUUGCACUCUUGUACCGGUGAACUGCAGGGGCAAAGGCAGAUAUUGAGUCUGCAAAAUCAGGACCACGUCAGUGUGCACAAAACACAGCAAGAGAACCAGCCGCUGGA